GAGUGGAAGGUGCAUCUCUAGAGUUCUCAGAAGCCACAAAUGAUGAACCUUUUGACGGGCGGACAGAAACUCUGUGCUGAAUGUCAAGUUCUGAUUUGGCUUUAGGAG
ensembl:miRNA Snord43 small nucleolar RNA, C/D box 43